rnacentral:rRNA from 1 species
GUUUGAUCCUGGCUCAGGAUGAACGCUGGCGGUAUGCUUAACACAUGCAAGUCGAACGGUGCUUUCGGGCACAGUGGCGGACGGGUGAGUAACGCGUGAGAAUCUGGCUUCAGGUCUGGGACAACAGUUGGAAACGGCUGCUAAAACCCGAUGUGCCCUUCGGGGUGAAAUAUUUAUAGCCUGAAGAUGAGCUCGCGUCUGAUUAGCUAGUAGGUGAGGUAACGGCUCACCUAGGCGACGAUCAGUAACUGGUCUGAGAGGAUGACCAGUCACACUGGGACUGAGACACGGCCCAGACUCCUACGGGAGGCAGCAGUGGGGAAUUUUCCGCAAUGGGCGAAAGCCUGACGGAGCAAUACCGCGUGAGGGAGGAAGGCUCUUGGGUCGUAAACCUCUUUUAUCAGGGAAGAACACAAUGACGGUACCUGAUGAAUCAGCAUCGGCUAACUCCGUGCCAGCAGCCGCGGUAAUACGGAGGAUGCAAGCGUUAUCCGGAAUUAUUGGGCGUAAAGCGUCCGCAGGUGGUUUUGAAAGUUUGCUGUCAAAGCGCGAGGCUCAACUUCGUACCGGCGGUGAAAACUUCAAGACUAGAGCUAGGUAGGGGUCACGGGAAUUCCCAGUGUAGCGGUGAAAUGCGUAGAUAUUGGGAAGAACACCAGCGGCGAAAGCGCGUGACUGGGCCUGAGCUGACACUCAUGGACGAAAGCUAGGGGAGCGAAAGGGAUUAGAUACCCCUGUAGUCCUAGCCGUAAACGAUGACAACUAGGUGUUGUCUGUAUCGACCCGGACAGUGCCGUAGCUAACGCGUUAAGUAUCCCGCCUGGGGAGUACGCACGCAAGUGUGAAACUCAAAGGAAUUGACGGGGGCCCGCAC